rnacentral:tRNA from 1 species
GCCCCCAUCGUCUAGAGGCCUAGGACGCCGGCCUCUCACGCCGGAAACCGGGGUUCGACUCCCCGUGGGGGCACCA